GAUGAACGCUGGCGGCGUGCUUAACACAUGCAAGUCGAACGGAAAGGCCCAAGCUUGCUUGGGUACUCGAGUGGCGAACGGGUGAGUAACACGUGGGUGAUCUGCCCUGCACUUCGGGAUAAGCCUGGGAAACUGGGUCUAAUACCGGAUAGGACCACAUUUUGGAUGGUGUGGUGGAAAGUUUUUCGGUGUGGGAUGAGCUCGCGGCCUAUCAGCUUGUUGGUGGGGUAAUGGCCUACCAAGGCGUCGACGGGUAGCCGGCCUGAGAGGGUGUACGGCCGCAUUGGGACUGAGAUACGGCCCAGACUCCUACGGGAGGCAGCAAUGGGGAAUAUUGCACAAUGGGCGCAAGCCUGAUGCAGCGACGCCGCGUGGGGGAUGACGGCCUUCGGGUUGUAAACUCCUUUCGCUAGGGACGAAGCGUUUUUGUGACGGUACCUGGAGAAGAAGCACCGGCUAACUACGUG
rnacentral:rRNA from 1 species